AGAAUCAACGCUGGCGGCGUGCCUAACACAUGCAAGUCGCACGAGAAAGUGGAGCAAUCCAUGAGUAAGGUGGCGCACGGGUGAGUAACACGUGAAUUAUCUACCUCCGAGUGGGGAAUAACUGAGAGAAAUCUUAGCUAAUACCGCAUAACACUUACGAGUCAAAGCAGCAAUGCGCUUGGAGAGGAGUUCGCGGCCGAUUAGUUAGUUGGCGGGGUAAUGGCCCACCAAGACGAUGAUCGGUA
rnacentral:rRNA from 1 species